GUUUUAACGCUCUGACAGGAAAGCAAAGAAACACUAUCCCUUGGUCUAACUAAAAUAGGCAAACCGUACCUACUAGGAAAACCCGAAAAUGUUCUGAAAACCGAAUAUAGUCGCGUCAAUGCUAACCCCAAAUCCAUUGCACCGAGGAAGGAGACAAGACCGGAUAUCUCUGACAUAAGACAUCAACAACUGACCGGAAUGAGAAAGGUGAAGAGGGGAAGGAUCGCUACCUACGAGACAGCGUAGUCGCCACGCAGAGUCUAGGCUGGUCGUGGAAAUACGGGUAGGAUAUAGCUGUCGAAUCCGACCAGUACGUAUAGACAUCCCGAAAGGAGAACCUUUCCGGAGAGAAAGAAACGCGUCAACAUCUAAGGCCCAGACGCCCGACACACGUCUGAAAGAAAUAAAACAUAGCAAGAGGGCAAACCCAACGUCGACAAAGGGAAGGUCCCGAGAAUCCGGGCAAACCUGGAAGAACGACUAAAGAAAAGAACACCUAGGCCCCAGAGGCCGCGACAAUCACAUACCUCUGAGACACCCACCAACCAGCGGGUCCUGACCAAAGGACAACCUCUAAUAGGU